UGAUCCCGUGGCAUAAAUCUAUGGUUGGGUUUACUAUAGGUACUCUUUUAUAAUUUCAGAUCGAAAAAAUCCCAUUUUAUUAAAAUAGUACACGUUAGCUCUGACAUAACUAUUUUAGGUAUGUUCAACCUUGUAUAACAAUUACUUAACUUGAUCCAAAUUAGGUACCUACCUAGUACCUUACAGUACGUACCGAAUUGUGAUUAACAACAUUUCAUUUUUUCAUUCCAAACAAACUAUUGACUUAAUUAUUUUCAGAACCAAGAUGUCUGCAACCCACGGACCCAGGAAUUUGUUAUGGACAUGUGCCUAAGUAUGCCUACAACAACGAGGCUGAAAGAUGUGAACAGUUUAUCUACGGCGGUUGUAUGGGAAAUGACAACCGUUUCGAUACCUUAGAAGCUUGUCAAGCGGCUUGCUAGAUAGAAGAUAACUUUUAUUUGAUACAUCGUCGCAUAUAGGUACAUAUACAAAUAAAAAUGAAAUAAAAUUUUCA